GACGAACGCUGGCGGCGUGCUUAACACAUGCAAGUCGAACGGAAAGGCCCUGCUUUUGUGGGGUGCUCGAGUGGCGAACGGGUGAGUAACACGUGAGUAACCUGCCCUUUACUUUGGGAUAACUUCAGGAAACUGGGGCUAAUACCGGAUAGGAGCUCCUGCUGCAUGGUGGGGGUUGGAAAGAUUCGGCGGUUGGGGAUGGACUCGCGGCUUAUCAGCUUGUUGGUGGGGUAGUGGCUUACCAAGGCUUUGACGGGUAGCCGGCCUGAGAGGGUGACCGGCCACAUUGGGACUGAGAUACGGCCCAGACUCCUACGGGAGGCAGCAGUGGGGAAUAUUGCACAAUGGGCGGAAGCCUGAUGCAGCAACGCCGCGUGCGGGAUGACGGCCUUCGGGUUGUAAACCGCUUUCGCCUGUGACGAAGCGUGAGUGACGGUAAUGGGUAAAGAAGCACCGGCUAACUACGUG
rnacentral:rRNA from 1 species